AUGGGUGGCGAUUUAGGCAAAAAAAACAAAAUGGCCAAUGCCAUAAGCAAAAGCUCUGACAACUUUUUUUAUGUGUUUGUGUGGCUACAUAAAUCAAGUAAUCAUUCACCCUUUUAUGAUUUUUUUUCUUGGAAUCAAACUUGCUGCUACAGAUCAGGCUAUUCUCCUAGACAUGUAUUGCCCUUUUUAGGAGUUUUCCCUUAUUUGUGGGAUUCACAGGCUAUUGUAUUCGUUACGAGAAUGUUGUGUGGCAACCUGAAGGCUGCAGGAUACAAAUGUUUCCAACUAUUAAUUUUUUAG
rnacentral:rRNA from 1 species